CCGAACUGAGAUCGAUGCCCAAUCAGAGGACGAGACCGGCGCCGUCAUCCUCCUCCUCACGCUACCAUCGCCGUGCCUUCCUCGUCCUCCUCCGGUGAACCGACUUCCCGAAUCCUAUAAAUAGCCGGUGAAGCCCUCUCUUUUCCCCACAUCAUCCGAGCUCUACGAGCUCUCUCUUCUCUCUCCACCAUGACCGGCCACCACUAAGUCCCGGCCGAUCUCCUCCCAUACAGGUCCACUUCUCGAAUCCAUGCACCACUAAUCUCUCUUCACUCCGGCGAAUCCAUUUUGUCCAUUUCCCCCUUCUCUCUCCCUCCAAACUAAGCCACCACCAUUACCACCUUAGCCGGCCGAAGGUGAGCUAGUGUUGCCGCUGUUCCGGCCAACCCACCCUUCCUCUCUCCCAACCACCACCCUCCCCGGGUGUGCGUUGCUCGGGAACACGUUCCGCCACCGACGUCACCGUCCCCCAUCCACUGGAGCACCGGCGUCCCUCUCUCCCUCUCCUCUCGUUUACUCGGCUGAAGAAGAAGAAGGAAGAUACGGGAGGAAGAAGAAGAGAAAGAAAAAGAAAAGAAAACAAACACUGACAGUAGAGUCUAUUAUCUUUUGGAUGGCAACAUGUGGUAUUUCGAGAAUCGGAUAAUCAGGUUGCCUAUCUUGAAUUUAUUUGCGUUGGAGCAAGGCAAGUUAUUAUCUCUCUCCUUUGAGCAUAAUUAUCCUAUAUUCUAUAUCUCCAUUAUCUCAUGCAUUAGUCAUUCAUGAUUUCGAAUGCGUAACCUGAACAUAGCAAACCAGAUAUGCUAGCUUUGCUUAGCCCUGCCUAAUUGGACUGCAUAAAAUAUAAUGAACUUAGAUUGGAACAGUAUGGUAGAAAUGGUUGAUUUCCAGGUGGCUAGUACUGUUCCAACCGACAUAAAACUGCUAAGUACAUGUGAAGAACAUACGAGUACGACCGCAAUUCUUGUAUGGGCAUAGACCUAGCUGAUUAAGUUAUCUAGCAAAGGUGGUACCUCUGUAUAGUGGUUCUUCUUAAGUCCUCGCGCAGGAGGCAAAUUUAUGCCGCGAAGGGCAACUGUGAUAUUUACCGAGGCGCAGGUAAAUAUAUGAGAUGAAUUGUGCACAAAUUGUUUGUGAACCCUGAUUGCGAUGACAUGGUGUCAUAAAAUCAGUUCUCUCUAAAGACCUCGGGAAUGCCAGAACUCCUCUCGCUGCUGAUAACGUUACGUUCAGAGCGCAUGGGGACUAGAGUUCAUGGAACAGGUACCAAUGAUGUUAGUAACCGAAAAGCUUUGCGAUGACAAGGCUAAUGUGUUUGGCACGUCAUGGAUUGCGAGUAAAGCGUACAUCUACUGUUUCUUAAAACUAUUCGAAUAGCCGUGCUCGUGGUUAUCGGGCAAUGGGACUCACAAUGGCAUCUUGGUUAGAAACAUAAUUCCAGAUUUUAUUAAAUACUGUUGCAUUAUAAACAUUAUAGACUUUCUACUUCUACAUUCUCAGCUUUCUGCAAUUAAACCUAGCUCUACACAUACAUUACCAUUUCAUGCAUUCAUUGUUGAUUAAUAUAAUAGCUUGCUGAGUACGUUGUACUCACCCUUGCUUUAACCCCCUUCUUUCAGAGUUAAUUUGGAAUUCUUGCCGAAGCCGGGAGUUCAAUUAUAUAAGUUAGUCUUAUAUAAGUUAGUCUCUUCUCAACCUAAUUCGCAAAUAUAGAUUAGAUAGAUGGUUUAAGUCUAUAGCCAAACAUUAGGGUCAAGUCAUUCUAUAGCUUCUGUUGUAAUAGUUAGCCACAACCUUGUAAAUACCCUAUUAUAUCACAUAAAGAAAUCUCCUUUGGAGCCUUGAUCAAAUGUAUGCGAUGAAGAUCCAGAUUGUUGAACCUA